UAGGGAAUCUUCCGCAAUGGACGAAAGUCUGACGGAGCAACGCCGCGUGAGUGAAGAAGGAUUUCGGUUCGUAAAACUCUGUUGUUAUGGAAGAAAAAAUGUAUAGUAACUAUAUACAAAAGAGACGGUACCUAACCAGAAAGCCACGGCUAACUACGUGCCAGCAGCCGCGGUAAUACGUAGGUGGCAAGCGUUGUCCGGAAUUAUUGGGCGUAAAGCGCGCGCAGGUGGUUUAGAAAGUCUGAUGUGAAAGCCCACGGCUCAACCGUUGAGGGUCAUUGGAAACUAAUAAACUUGAGUGCAGGAGAGAAAAGUGGAAUUCCUAGUGUAGCGGUGAAAUGCGUAGAGAUUAGGAGGAACACCGGUGGCGAAAGCGGCUUUUUGGCCUGCAACUGACACUGAGGCGCGAAAGCGUGGGGAGCAAACAGG
rnacentral:rRNA from 1 species